UGGAGAUGAUGGCUUUAUCAGCAACACCGCCUUGCCAUCACCUCACAACAAGAGCUGUUUCCCACACCUCCUGGAUCCUGGCCUCUUCCCACGGUUCACCCAGCUAUGUCUUCAACAGCUUCUCCCACCUCAGGAGGCAAAAAUGACGACUCAGCACCGACAUCCGCUUCUACAUCUUAAGGCCAAAGAAGACAUUCUGGAGAGUCUUGCCAAUGAAGAGAAAAGUAGAACAGGCCCAUGGGAACUCAGAUCAUUCUACAUACUUGUAUAGUUUCUCUUCCCUUCGAUAGAUUUGUGUUUGAAUAUGUGAAGUAUACUGUUGUCAUCGUGUGAUAAUCACAAACAACUUUGUCCGGGUUUUGGAGGACUCUUAAGUAUUUCCCUAGAAACAGCCAGGCAGUAUUCAGUUUUAUUUGGCUCCAGUGGGAACAUUUUCCUUCCAUGUGAUGGAAAGCAGUGGGAAUACACUGGUCUCCUGAGUUCCGUUGUUUAACUAAUGUUUUCUGCUGUUCCGUGCCAGGCAUCAAGGAGCAUCAUAGACAGCUGCCACUUGGGGACCUCUUCAGGAUUGCUGCCAUUUCACUUUACUAUGCAAAGCCAUCCUUCCCACAGCCUCCCAUUAGUGUCCUUCACUGCUGUACCCAUGUUUGCAGGGCUGGUGUGUUUCAGGGAAUUGUGGGGCAGCACAAUCACCCAUGGAAAGAACAGGGAAGCUGGAUUUCCUGACUUUGAAAGAUUAAACGGAAGUGGAUUCCAGUGAUACAAUUAGAUUUUCAAACUAAUGGACGUGUGUUGUUCAUCAAACACUUUAGUUUCUGGUUCAUACAGCAGUAUAUCAUAUGUUGCAUUAAAACUCAAUUGGUAGGAACACUUUUAUGUUGGAGUCAAGUGUGGGAUAGCUAUAAGUGAAGUGAGAUUUUUGACCUCUACCCUUGAGGGUAAAUAAAAUCUGUCUUUCUUGGGAUAAAAGAU